GAUAGCCUUCACGGGAAGUGAAUGAGGUAAACAUAAAAUAAGAUGCUGAGAUACUUGAGAAGUGAAGAGGUGAUUCAGAAAUGAGACAGUAACUUGGCCUACCAAUUGAAUGUCUGGACUAGCAACAGUUUAAAUGACAGCACCAGUGUUGAUUAGUGAGAGAACAGGAAGAAAGGAUAUGGGCUGAUGGAACCAGUGGAGCCUAACAACAUAUGAGUGCUAUUAUUCUUUGACACAGGAAUUCCUAAUGAAACGCUGCUCAGGUCUUGAUGAAUGGACAUGAUAAAGGCUCACUGAUUGACAAAUACAAAUCCACUGGAGCAGCCGGACUGACUCGUAGUCUCCUGAAAAGGCAUCAUGGGAGAAAAGAGGGGCUUCAAGUGAUUACAAUUGUCAGUGAAGCCCCCACUUCAUCAAAUUCGUACAGUAUCACCAAGUACAUACACGAAAUAAGCAAGCAGUGUUUCAAAAUUGCAUUGGCGUAAUGAUUCGGGGUUUGUAUUAUACUUUCCAAGAUGAUAACUUGAAACUGAUUUGACAUGUUUUUCAGCGCUUUCCAAACUAUUCUUACAAAUGGUCAAACGCUAUUUUUCUGCAAUUAGAGGAGCUCAAAUGCACUGAACGAGCCAAAAGCUUGGUCAAUUUUGUAUGAGAACAGUUAUAAGGCAGGUUGGGAGGAGUGGGGGAUGGAGUCCAAAGUGGAACAUCCAGGAGACUAAGCUCAUGUUUUGCCAAACUGGCAGUACGAAAUCCUGCAGCAGGAGAACAGAUGGAAGUUUGGGCAGGAGGAAAAAGGACAGCAGAGUUAAAAACUGGAACAUAAUGAAAGGAAGUGGGGGCCAGACAAUACAUUUCUGAAUAGCAAGAGAGCUGAGGUUUGGGAGCCGGCUGGAUGGGAUGUGUGAAGAAAAAAAAUACAUACUACCUCUUGACAGUUCAAUUUUACAGUUGAGGAACAUGUUUUUAUUUGGAAAUGUCUUGCUUUGCCUUUAUAAAGCAUACAGUACACAACACGACUACCGGAGACAAAUUCAUUGUGUGUUGUUACAUACUUGGCCAUUUUUCCAUGUGAAUCACGAGCUGUUCCCGCCUCCCCCAUAUUUUUCUUUUUCUGUUUUUAUAAAACAAGUUGACAACUGGUUUCGUGGCUACUUCCUCAGAGUCUGAUUCCAGAAAAUGGGGCAAAAUCUGAUUUAUUUUAUGAGUGCAUGAUUGUCACGAGUAAGUUACGCCUCUGCAUUUAUGUACAUUCCUGAAGGUGUCUCGCGGUUACAGAUUUUGACAAUGAUACGCCAACCUCCUCCGUGAUAUUUUGGACUGAUGUUGAUCUUGUGAAGUGUUAUUUUUGUCUUCAAGGUUUCUUCAUGCUGUAGAGCUUUCUCUUUAAAAUUGCCCCCAACCAGUUGACCGCAAUGUCUUUUUACAUGUACUGGUUUGCAGUCAAAUAAUGGACUUCUUUGGUUGCAUUGAUAUUUCUUUCAUGAGCCAAUGUUGUCAACAUGGUUUAUUAAAACAAACACAUCAUUCGUCUCCAAAAUUGAUCGGAGCAAAUGUGAUCUAAC